AACACUGUUAACCUGCGGUACCUGCGGAGGGAUCGUUAUUGAAUAAACUUGGUCAAGCUGUUGCUGGUCCUUCGGGACAUGUGCACGCUUGCCACCAAUUUUAACCACCUGUGCACUUUUUGUAGACUUGGAAACGUUUCUCGAGGCAACUCGGAUUGAGAACUGCUGGCGCAAGUCGGCUUUUCUUAUGUUUUCUCAGUCUAUGUUUUCAUAUACACCUAAUGUAUGUAUCAGAAUGUA
rnacentral:misc_RNA from 1 species